CGGGUGAGUAAUGCCUGGGAAAUUGCCCUGAUGUGGGGGAUAACCAUUGGAAACGAUGGCUAAUACCGCAUAAUAGCUUCGGCUCAAAGAGGGGGACCUUCGGGCCUCUCGCGUCAGGAUAUGCCCAGGUGGGAUUAGCUAGUUGGUGAGGUAAUGGCUCACCAAGGCGACGAUCCCUAGCUGGUCUGAGAGGAUGAUCAGCCACACUGGAACUGAGACACGGUCCAGACUCCUACGGGAGGCAGCAGUGGGGAAUAUUGCACAAUGGGCGCAAGCCUGAUGCAGCCAUGCCGCGUGUAUGAAGAAGGCCUUCGGGUUGUAAAGUACUUUCAGCAGUGAGGAAGGCGGAGUCGUUAAUAGCGGCCUCGUUUGACGUUAGCUGCAGAAGAAGCACCGGCUAACUCCGUGCCAGCAGCCGCGGUAAUACGGAGGGUGCGAGCGUUAAUCGGAAUUACUGGGCGUAAAGCGCAUGCAGGUGGUUUGUUAAGUCAGAUGUGAAA
rnacentral:rRNA from 1 species